rnacentral:rRNA from 1 species
UACGGAGGGGGCUAGCGUUGUUCGGAAUUACUGGGCGUAAAGCGCACGUAGGCGGACUGGAAAGUUGGGGGUGAAAAGCCCAGGGCUCAACCCUGGAACUGCCUUCAAAACUCCCAGUCUUGAGGUCGAGAGAGGUGAGUGGAAUUCCGAGUGUAGAGGUGAAAUUCGUAGAUAUUCGGAGGAAACACCAGUGGCGAAGGCGGCUCACUGGCCCGAUACUGACGCUGAGGCACGGAAA